CCUGAGAUCAAGCAGAGCAAAGAUCGUGACGCUUCAGAGAUGAAGAAGCCGCCUCUUCUUAAAGUGCCGCCGCUGCCCCACCGAGACUCAAAGAGCUUGGAAGAUGACGAGUUCCCUCAGAAGGGUGCAGAUCUGUUCAAGGCGGGAGACGUAGAGCUGGCGGAGGACGCAGGCUGGGAGGAAUACACGCCGGAUAAUAAACCACAGAAACCUAAAGAGACUGACACACAUCGCAGAGGGUCAAAGGUAAGUGUGCGUUCGUCUUCAACGACAGUCAACUCAUUCACUACAUCUUCAUCUCAUAUCAUCUGUCGACCUGCUUUUCUCAGACUGAAGACAUGAAGGAGUUUCCUGAAGAGUUUCUGGAUCCUCCAGGGGCCACG
rnacentral:lncRNA from 1 species